GAGAAAAAUCCCCCUUUUGACAGUGGGGUGUGUGUAUGUGUGCGAGAGAGAUUCAUUUUCCAAGUGAUAAUAUCUUUUGUAUAUUUUAAUGUCCCCAUGUUGUAGCUUACAAAAUUACUUUCCUACAGGCUUAUUGGAAUGGAAUGCUGAAUGUGAUUGUGGUUGUAUAUGUCACAAUUGGCAGCUAUUAACCUGGAACAGUUUGAAAGGUUCACACUCUGAAGUAAGAGCAAGGUUUUUUAAAAGGUUCAGUUGAAUCCCUCUGGGCAAAUAUGAUCAAAAGAGCGAGGGGAAGAAAUAAAAACUUUUUAAAUUUCCAAAAACUUAGUGGAUUGCAGUAGAAGAUGUGGCCUAUAAAUGAGUAUCUACUUGGUUCAAGGUCUUCCCAUGCGAUUCUGUGGUCAACUUCCAGCAAACUGACCAGAGAACUGUGUUGCUGGACCGAGAGAUUCCCAAUUAAGUGUUUUCACAGGUACUAAUGUUGGAGAGCAGUCCCUGGUCAAGAUGGUCCCUGGUCAAGUGAUCCCUGGUUGGGAACCAGUGCCCUAACCCAAGCAAAUGUGGAAAACUGACGCAAGCAUAAGGGCUGUGCCUCUUAGCAGCCUGAGGUCUGCCAGGAAGGUACCAUGGGAAUCAUUUGGGAGAAGAUUCUGAAAUAUUUCAAAGCAAGUGGUUUAAUAUAUGUGCAGGCCACUAGAUGUCAUCUUGAUAUCAAUUCCUGAUUUCAUCAAUUUUUUGAGCAGCAAACAGAGCAGAAUUGAUCAGCAACUGAACAUACUGGAAAGGUUUGCGGGACUGACUCAGCAUGAUGGAAGAUGUAGUUAACCCUGUAUCAAGAUAGAGCACUGUGACCUGGACCACAUUUGCACACAGAACCUCCGUGACCAACGAAAAAUAUCUGAAAGAUUUGGGGGGAACCUCCUCAACCCAUACGACAAUGGAUCUAGAAUAAACUUGGCACACAUUCUCAA